rnacentral:lncRNA from 10 species
CACACACCCCCACACCUUCAUUUAAAUUAUUCCAAGUAUACUGAGGUUCUCUAAGAGUAAUACAAUAGGCCUGUGCAUCAAAUACCUCUGGUAAAUUGACCAGACAUCUACAUACUUUCUUAGGCAAACAACAUAGCAAUAUAAAUUAAACAAUGACAAGUGCAUAUCCUUACAUAUAUUCAGACCUAAGUGAGAAAAAUACUCAUGAUGUAUUAGUUUUGGUCAGAACUUACUGAACUCCUGAACCUUUUCUAAUGUUAUUUUCAAGGCUCGAGUGUAUCACAGAAACACAGAAGGAAAUAAAAUAUAGUUAAUUAUAAUUCAUCUGUCUCCUGACAAGAUAGCUAUUGUUCAGUUCCUAAUCUCUAAGCAAGAAUGAAGAUACAGUAUCCAUCAACUUCACAGUUAGCUCAAGAUCAUAUUUCAGAAAAAAAUGUAUAACUUAAGGAAGCAUGGGAGUGAUUCAAAAACCAGUUACAGAAAAAUCUCCUAGAUGGAAUGUGAAUCAGGAGCUUUCAACAGAAGGAAGAAAAAAACCGACUUACACGCAGUUUCCCUGGAUGCAUCUCCCAUGGCCACUGCACAUGUCUAUGCAGCCAUCCCCGAUAUAGACAUUAUCUAUUGCCCAUGUCUGCUGCUUGUCAAAAGGAGCUGGUUGAUGCCAACGGAAACGAGUGGCUUGGGACCUUUGAAGAAGAUGAGAAUUUUAAUGAAGGAUGCUGUGGAAAAGAAAAUGUGUUCCAGUAUGUUUGAACAAGUGCAUGGAGAAGUGUAACACAAAAGCAUGUACAUUCCUACUUCUUUUCUGAAAAGAACAUUCAUUAUUACAAUAUUCUUCUUUUCUUUUUUUGAGAUGGAGUCUUGCUCUGUCACCCGGGCUGGAACGCAGUGGCACCAUCUCAGCUCACUGCAGCCUCCACUUCCUGGGUUCAAGCAAUUCUGAUGUCUCAGCCUCCCGAGUAGCUGGGAUUAUAGGCAUGCACUACAACACCCAGUUAAUUUUUGUAUUUUAGGGGAGACAGAGUUUCACCAUGUUGGCCAGGCUGGUCUUGAACUCCUGACCUAAAGUGAUCCUCCCACCUCAGCCUCCCAAAGUGCGGGGAUUACAGGCAUGAGCCACUGUGCCUGGCUGGCCAUUAUUACAAUAUUCUACAGAAAACAUUGUUUAUAGUCAAACCAAACCAACCAAACUGUGAUAGUUUGAUCAUACAAUUUGGCCAAGUGAUCUUCCUGAGCCUUGUAAAAAACAGACAGUCAGAAACAAAAACGAAUCCUAAAACUGGAAGCCUCAGGGGAGCUGUGAGCCUUGGAUUUCGUGUGGGAAGUACCAUGGAAUGACACCAGAGCUGCUGCUAACUUGUAAGUGCAAAAUCAGAAAAGAUGACUAUCUCCGAGCAGCCGCAAGCCCUCUGCAUUUGGCUUGGGAACAGAACAUGGGCUGGAUUUCAGCUUCCCACUUGCUCCCUAAUUGGACAGAGAAAAUUGUACAGAGAAAAAAAAGAGAGAGCAUAAUAAAUGAGACCAGACUUAUUUUACAUUGAUAUAAAAGCGAUAUAAGUAAAGCUAAAACAGAGGUUCUCCCAUUCCAGAAGCAGAAAUAUAUUUGCUCAUUCACGGAGUUCUGGAGAGUGUCUUGCUCAAAAAUACAACACACGUGUUUUCAGAGGCACUAGAUGGCAGUAAAAUCCAAGCAAUGCCUGAGGCUCAAGUGCAUUGAACAUGAAAAGACUUUUAGAGGAAACCAUUUGUGUUUAUUGAUCCAUAUAUGUUCUGUCAUUAAGAGACCGUUAAUCAUUUGACUCAGGAAUAUCUGUUUAAGGCAGGACAAAAGACCAAACAACAGGAAGGAGUUUGCAUUUUCCAAAUGAAAAUAUUUCUAUAAAGUUUAGAAAAUGGAGAAGAAACAGACUAGAACUAAAAUCUUCACCUGAAAUGAAGAGACUAUAAGCUUCUGAAGGGCAGAGAAUAUCUCUGUAUCCCUUAGGGAAUAUUGGUUUGUAUCCUCAGUGCUUAUAGAUAGUAGAAUGACUCUAUCUACCUAUGAAGUCCUCACUGUCGUCAUCAUCGUGAGAAAAAGCCCUUUGAAAGGAACAUAAUAUUUUAAACCUCUUCAUCCUUCCCUGAAAUAUCUUUUACUUCGAAAGAGAUACAUAAAAUAUUUAAGCCUAGAAAAUCUAGCCUAACAAUGCCAUUCUACCGAAGACGACGAUGACGCCCAGUGACCUAAGUCUCACACUGAUUCACUAACAAAACUGAGACAAGUUGGAGAAUAUUCCAAAGAAGAUAUAUAAAUGGCCAAUAAGCACAGGAUAAGAAGCCCAACAUCAUCAGCCUUUAGGGAAAUGUCAAUGAGAACCACAAUGAGAUACAACCUCACACCCAUGAAGAUGGCAACAGUCAAAAAGACAAUAACAAGUGCUGGGUCUGGCUCUGACACCCAAGCUGGAGUGCAGUGGCAUGAUCAUAGCUCACUGCAUUCUCAAACUCCUGGGCUCUAGUGAUCCUCCUGCCACAGCCUCCUGAGUGGCU